CCUACGGGAGGCAGCAGUGGGGAAUUUUGGACAAUGGGCGAAAGCCUGAUCCAGCCAUACCGCGUGCGGGAAGAAGGCCUUCGGGUUGUAAACCGCUUUUGUCAGGGAAGAAAUGCUUCGGGCUAAUACCCUGGGGUGAUGACGGUACCUGAAGAAUAAGCACCGGCUAACUACGUGCCAGCAGCCGCGGUAAUACGUAGGGUGCAAGCGUUAAUCGGAAUUACUGGGCGUAAAGCGUGCGCAGGCGGUUCUAUAAGACAGAUGUGAAAUCCCCGGGCUCAACCUGGGAACUGCAUUUGUGACUGUAGAGCUAGAGUACGGUAGAGGGGGAUGGAAUUCCGCGUGUAGCAGUGAAAUGCGUAGAUAUGCGGAGGAACACCGAUGGCGAAGGCAAUCCCCUGGACCUGUACUGACGCUCAUGCACGAAAGCGUGGGGAGCAAACAGGAUUAGAUACCCUGGUAGUCCACGCCCUAAACGAUGUCAACUGGUUGUUGGGAGGGUUUCUUCUCAGUAACGAAGCUAACGCGUGAAGUUGACCGCCUGGGGAGUACGGCCGCAAGGUUGAAACUCAAAUGAAUUGACGG
rnacentral:rRNA from 1 species